AGUGUUUGUGUUGAAGGAAGGGAAGCGUCUUACUGUAUUACCUUCAGGUUUUGGAUGGUUCAGUGUGUUUUUAAUAUGUCCCAGUGUGCGCUUUGCUGUUGCUUGGAGGUAAAUAGUUUGACACCUGCCAGUGAAUAACUCCGGGGAUAAUUUUGAAGCUGAUACAGAUUCCCAAAAUGCUUCUGUUCAAGAGUACAACUGGAGAGACUUUCUGAGACUGGGCUAUUCUGGACAGGACUCCUCAUGUGGCCGUGUGACUGUGGUUCGAAGGGAAUUGGAAAUGAUGACAUCUUUGAUGGAGUGAACUAUUUAUGGUAGGGAAAUAUCCUCUCAGCUCACACUGUGCUGACAGCCUCGGAUGAAUCACCCUCGUUUAUUCUGCUGAUGCUGCAGGUAUACGAGAGCCAGGAAUUUAAUAUGCGGCUGUGGGAGAGAAGAGCUACGGGUGCUGGAGAGGAUCAAUAAUUGAAAGGUCACGCAGAGUGGCUGAACUGCUAUACAUGAGCCAUAAGAGGAGCUCAUUGUGUAUUUGUGUGUGUGGUUUCUUGCUGCAUGCUUGGGGAAUCAGAUAAGAUGAGUCUUUUUUUAGGCAUGUGUGUGGAUUGUGACAUGUGAAACACAAUGGUCUUAUUUGCCCUGCCACAUUAUUUAGCAUAAAUUGUUAUAUACUAUAUAAUAGAAGGUAAGGUUUAAUAAUCUAGAAAUAAAAACAAACAAACAAUCAUAUCGAAUAUAUAAUAUCUGCAGAUGUUGAGAUUUCUACCUUAUUAUCUUAAAAAGAAAAAUUGUAUUGCUCAGUGAUACGGAAGAUGAUUCGAUGUUUGGUCCUGGAAGAGUUUGAUAAGAAUUUCUUAUUGACUUUGGAUUUCAGACUGAAACCGAAACAGUUUGUGGUAUUAUGGAGAUCUCUUCUAAAACACAAAUUAAAUUC